CCUCCACACGCAACCUCUCAUCUCUCUCUCGUGUGCAUCUUCCUCCGGCGGCAUCUUCCCCGAGCGAGGCGGUAGCCCGGAGACGCGGCGUCCCGCCGUCUAGAUCGAACCGAGCGGGAGGGGAGAACAACCGCCGCCUUCUCAUGUUGCUCGUCUCCACCAUGCCUCAUCUGCGCCGCAUGGUGAUGACCCGCGGCAUAGCCAGCGUUGGCGGCAGUGGUCAAUCCCUCGACUUCCGUAGCUUCUAAAGGCCGACGCUAACGCGGGCCCCUCUCCCUCCAUCUGUGAGUUCCACGGUUCGUCUCUACGGUCCCGAGCCUCCAUUGUUUCCGCGAAAUCCCAACGCCGCUUUGUUUGCCCGGGCUCAGAUGCGCUGCAGAUAGGGGACCCAUGUGUUGUCUAGACUAGCUUCAAAAUCGAGCAUGGGUUAUUUGACUUUUGCAAUUGAUGGUUUAAUUGUUGAAAUUGGAGCUUCCUAGGGGCAUGUUCCUCACCGGCGUCAUGAGAGAGUGGGGCCAGGUCAAGGCUCCUUCACUUGGCCGGAUGUUCCACGAGAUGGUCCAAUGGUGGAAUACGAGAAGAGAAUUGCAUCAGGAGAUCUUGUAGAUUGCGAUAGCUUCCAGGUUAUCGAAUUUGACCUGAUCAAUGCAUUUCUUACAUGGCUUCCUUCAUUCUUGGUUAUUGAUACAUGCGCACAUGCACAUCAAAACAUUUUAAAUCGGUUGCUGCGGGUGGCGGUGCUCUGGGAGCACAAGGGUAGCGCGGUGCACAAUUCCGGUUGUUCAAGGCACUGCGGCACAGCCGUGUCGGCCUACGCGCACCCCAAGUUCUUCCACACCAACCUGACCUCCCACAAGUGAGCAUUCAGAGGUUUGGCGCCCUUGCCCAUCCAUUCUUUGAUGUGGUUUGGUGCGGUGGAGAUGUAAUUGUUUGAUAGUCUUCAGUUUGUCAGAACCACUACCGGAAUCGCACCCUAUGCCGACGGCCCUGAUUGGCUGUCGGGACAGGCCUAUGUCGACGGCCCUCGUCAGCAUAGGGUCGUCGGCAACAUAUCUGUCGGCGUAGCUCGGGACGCCAUCGACAUAGGCCCUAUCCCGACGGUGCCCAUACAUCUAUGCCGACGGCCUUGGCCGUCGGCAACGUUACCGCCUAACGGCAGCCGCCGUCAAGUGCUGACCAACGGCUGCUCACUACAUGGCGCAUCUAUGUCGAUGGCCCGGCCGUCGGCUUAGUUUGAAACUAUGCCGACGGCUAGACUGUCAGCAUAGAUGCGCCACGUGUCAGCAUCUGGGCACUCCUGGGGCAGGGCUAUGCCGACGGCCCGACCGUCGGCUUAGUUGGAUCGGAGUGGUCGGGCUACAUGACUCGGGAGUGCUGCGAAGACCACCGCCAACGGUUGAUCUACCGGUUCCCUAGAUGUUGAAAAGACAUAUUAACGGGAUACAUGACUGUGUUGAAAGGCAUGAUAUGCUUCGGGUGAAUAGAUUGGGGAUGAACUAACCGGUGAGGGACCAGCGUUCUGUGCCACAAACUCCUCAAAGGUCAGCAGCCUUGGUUGUGCUGGAGGACAUUGUGCUAGUUGCAAUUGAGGACACCUGCCGGCCGCCAUUUCCUGAAAAGCGUGCUGCAUCUGGCGAUCCCUCUGCUCAUGGUAUGCAUAAAGGCUCUCGUGCCACGCCAUGGUCUCCUGGCGUGUGUACUCCAGGUAGGCCUACUAAAUGCGGAAAAUAAAGUGAGAAAUGAAGAUAAGAGGGAAAAUACUUAUAGAUUGUCGCUCCUGAAAAAGGGACUAUGACUGUGCACUCGUCAUUGAUGUGCUCGUGUGCUAGCUCAGGCUCGGGUCGAUUCGACAGAGUUGUGUGUAGGAGAUAGUAGGAGUGAUCACAGCGUCGAGAACCGCCUCCCGACCAUGCUCCUUGGGCCCCAUGCCCACCACCACCCUAUCAUCCAAAUCUGCCGCAAUGGGGUCAGGUGUGUCAGGAUGUAACCUUAGACCCAUCGAGGUAGGCUUUCUUCCUCUCUGCGGUCUUCUUGCCGUAGUACUUGGGCUCGCCAGGCUUGGAGUCCUUCCGCGUAUGGGCGAUCUCCCACGCCUCCAUGUGUGAGAGCGGUCGCUUCAGUUUCUCCUCCUGGACCACCAAACAGAGGUUAGUCAUACAUAAGAAAGUGACGGUAAAUAGAAGAAGAAUGUUUAAUGGGGUUAGUCAUACAUUAAGUGUCUUGUGGAGAAAGUGGUUUUGGUUUCCCUGAGCAUGUACUCCCUCCUUCCCUCCGUUAGCCUUGUUUUUGAUUCUCGUAGCCGCCCAGGCUCCAGCCUCAUCACACCAAAGAUCCACCAAUGCCGCUCAGGACUCGUCUUUUCCAUAACACCAAAGAUCCACCAAUGCCACCCGGCACACGGCGGCAGCGACGCUCGUGAGGGGGGCGCUCCCCGGAGCCACGUGUCGGGUGCCUGCGCCUGCCACCAUGCUUCCACAACCGUAAGAGGGCCCACCGCACCACCUGGCGGCAUUGCUUCCCCCCCAGGUACCUCGUCCCGUCUAACCCAUGACACAGACGACCGCCGGGUCUAGCCCUUUGACUUUUGAUGGACGUAGUUUGAUCGGUGGACCUUUUCACCUAGUUGUCAUAGCCCAGCCAUAGCUACACCCCCCAACACAGUCCCGGCACAACCCACCCAAGAUUCCCUCCGCGUCGGCCCGACGUGGCCGUUUCCCCCUUCGGGGCACGGCGACAGCGACACCCAUGAGGGGGGGAGGGGGGCACACCCCGGAGCCGCGUGUCGGGUGCCUACGCCUGCCACCACGUUUCCACAACCGUAGGAGGGCCCACCGCAACACCUAGCGGCAUUGCUACCCCCCACAGGUACCCCGUCCCGUCUAACCUCUCCGUGACACGACGGAAGCAAGGCCCGUGUGGGGGGUAAUUGAUAUAUGUUUUCUGUACAUUUAAGUUAAUGAAAUUAGUUUUGGAAAAAAUAAAAAGAAAAAGAAAAAAUAAAUAAAAUAUUAAAAUAUUAUUAGAAAUCUAUGCCUACGGCAAAGCCGUCGGCAUAGCUACGGCCACGGAACGGCAGAGCCUUGGAUCGAUGACAUGGCGUAGGGCGGGGAUCGAUGAUGUGGCAAAAUCCAUGGGCCAGGCCUAUGCCGACGGUAAGGACGUCGGCAUAGAUAUGCCACCCCACGGGACCGGCGAACGACGCGGAUCGAUGACGUGGCGGCGCUGUGGAUCGAUGACGUCGGCAUAGCUAUGCCGACGGUCACCGUUAGCCCGUCGGCGUAGCCUGACGCCGUCAAACGGUCGUCGCUGCCCGAGUAGACGGGCCCACGUGAUAUGCCGACGGCUGCCGUAGGCAUAUUUGAAGCAACACCGACGGCUGAUCUAUGCCGACGGCCCCCGUUGGCAUAGAUGGACAUACGCCGACGGCCUUUCUAUGCCGACGGCUUUAGCUGGGCCGUCGGGGUAUGCCCAUCUAUGCCAACGGGGGCCGUCGGCAACGCAAGUUUUUCUGGUAGUGAACAGAGGGUACCAGGUAACUACAAGAUGCAUUGCUUGCUGGUUUGUCACCAUAUUUAACCUGAUGGGAGAUAAUAUGAAUACCUUGCUGGUUUGGUAUGAUAUUUGGCCUGAGUGGAGAUAAGAUGAAUUGCUUGCUGGUUUAUCUGAGUAACUUGGUUGCACUGAUAAUAAAAGCACAUGUUAUCCAUUUCUCCCUUGCUAUUUCUGUUUGGGGAAGAUUAUAGUUUGACCACUCAGUAGAAAUCAAAUGCUUCACAUUGGAAUGUUUGUUGGAUAAGAAGGUAGAAAAACUAAACGGUGUUGCACUCUCAUGGCUUUUCUUCUUUAUUAUGUUUGGUGUUCAAGAUACUUAUGCGGUUAUGCCACCAUGUAAAAUAUUUAUACUUCUCUCUUGGUGUGCAGCUAUAUCUGAAAUUCUUGAUAAUGCAGUAGAUCAGGUUUGUAAUAUCUUCUAACAUCUUAUAUGAACUAGAUACUCGCUAUUUAAAUUGCGUGAUAAUACUCAAAUGUCCGAAACACGUAGUAUUCUGUUGUAAGCUGAAAAUUUGAGAUGACACAUUCCUGUUUCUGGAAAAACCAUGCUAUACUGCUAUCACAUCUAUUUAUUUAUUUUGCUGUAUUCGUGUAUUAUAACAUAAAUGCUCUGUUGAUCAGCAUGUUAAUAACUUCACUCCCUAACAUAUGCUCAUAACUGAUGGCGGCGACAUGGAACAACACUUCUGUGCGAUUGGUACUGUAAAUUUGGGAACUGAAAUAAUUAUAACCAGUGUUACAAAUGUUUGUUGAGGAAAAGUCCUUGCAGCAAACAAGGACCGGAAGCAGGUUUCCUAUUUUGACCAGCAUUUUCUUUUGUUCCUAAUUGUUGGCUCUUUCCUAUGGAAGCUCUGAAACAAAAUGAAGUGGCCUAAAAUUAAGGACUAAUGCUUGAUAUCUGAUUUGAGAAAACUGAUUCACAGAAUAUAAGUAGAAGGUAGACUGUAGCAUUCAUCAUUGUUAUCUUACAUAGACAGUUCAACGAACUUCUCCGAGGGGAUAUUCAGAAUGAUGACGGCGACAACCAAGACGGCGUCUGUGAAGUUUUGCUGGAGAGCCUGAAGUCAGGGUGCGUUCAAUCGAGCACACUCGCUUCUUUCAGAAUUCGUAUAAUCAUCAUAACCAGCCAUGCCAAAGAUAUGAAGUGGAACACAUUUGCAGGGAGGGAAGUUGAGAAGCCAGGACACCAACGGUGCCAAGCCGUUUGCCAUCGAGAGGACAAGGGCUGCCAUCAGGGACCUCCAGACCAAGCUCAACAUCUCCCUCGCCUCCGUCAGCCCCGUGUCUCAAGAGGGUUGUUGCCGUUGCCGUCCGCGAUGGCUGGCAAGGAUGUGGCGAGUCAUCGGCUACACGCACCGGGUGAUGAAGCGCAUGGAGGACGAGGCAAGCGCGCGGAAGCAUCAAGGGCCUGCCGCCACCGCCGGGGCCGACUUCCACGGAAUUUCUAUUGAUGUAGUUUAUCUUGCCAAACAGCAAGAUGCUCCUGUCGAUGCUUGCCUAUGAUGGCAUGGCAUUUCAGCUUCUUCCUCGCAUGAUUUUCCAAUAUAAUAAGUUUAUCAAGAAUUGCAUGUACAUGUGCUGCUAUCCAGAUUCAGAAAGGAAAGUGAAAAAGGCGUU